GGAGGUAUUGCUCAAGUGGUAAAGUACAUGCUUAGCAUGCACCAGGUCCUGGGUUCAAUCCCCAGUACCUCCA
rfam:Camelus ferus unplaced genomic scaffold scaffold1713, whole genome shotgun sequence.